GCCAAACAGAACCUUGCCUGCUUACACUCCGCGGUGCUGCAUGCUGGAGAACGGUGUCGCGGUUGAAAGAGAAGUGCACAGGGAGCAAGUAGGCCCUCUGGUAGUUGUAGAAGGCGCACUCCGUGAUGACUUGAGCACCAAGGCAUUGGAUGGUUGCAGCCACCACGCAGCCCUAGUAGAGCAUGCCAGCGGCCAGGAGAAAGUUGCCGGCUCCAGCGCCACUUCCUCGAACAAGUGGCUGGCUUCUCCACCGGAGCUUGUGCAGUUGCUCGCCCCUCUACAACGACCAGAGUUCGCAUGAUGCUGAAGUUCAGGUUGCCAACAACUUGGCCACAUAUGGAGCAGUUCAUCAGUUCAAAUACAAUGAACUUUCAUUCCCUGUG